rnacentral:rRNA from 1 species
UACGUAGGGGGCAAGCGUUGUCCGGAUUUAUUGGGCGUAAAGAGCGUGUAGGCGGCUUGGUAGGUCCGCUGUGAAAACUCGAGGCUCAACCUCGAGAUGUCGGCGGAAACCACUUGGCUAGAGUCCGGAAGAGGAGAGUGGAAUUCCCGGUGUAGCGGUGAAAUGCGCAGAUAUCGGGAAGAACACCUAUGGCGAAGGCAGCUCUCCGGGACGGUACUGACGCUGAGACGCGAAAGCGUGGGGAGCGAACAGG